rnacentral:rRNA from 1 species
CCUAGGGUGGCGCAGCAGUGGGGAAUAUUGGGCAAUGGGCGCAAGCCUGACCCAGCAACGCCGCGUGAAGGAAGAAGGCUUUCGGGUUGUAAACUUCUUUUAAGAGGGAAGAGCAGAAGACGGUACCUCUUGAAUAAGCCACGGCUAACUACGUGCCAGCAGCCGCGGUAAUACGUAGGUGGCAAGCGUUGUCCGGAUUUACUGGGUGUAAAGGGCGUGUAGCCGGGCUGACAAGUCAGAUGUGAAAUUCCGGGGCUCAACCCCGGACCUGCAUUUGAAACUGUUUUUCUUGAGUACUGGAGAGGCAGACGGAAUUCCUAGUGUAGCGGUGAAAUGCGUAGAUAUUAGGAGGAACACCAGUGGCGAAGGCGGUCUGCUGGACAGCAACUGACGCUGAGGCGCGAAAGCGUGGGGAGCAAACAGGAUUAGAUACCCCGGUAGUC